rnacentral:lncRNA from 1 species
GGAGUAAACAGCCACUUUAGUCCCUGAAAGUGUCAGUCACUGUCAUAGUAGUCCCUGAAUCACCAAAAAAUAUUUUAAAGUCCCUGAUUCGAGCAUCUGUUAGUCAAAAUGGUCCCUUGCGUUAAAUUAACGUUAACUCUGAUGACGUGUCCUCUUUUUUUGCCACAUCACAUGCUUAUGUGUUAUUUUCUUUCUUAUAUGUGAAUUUCAUGGUGCUUAAGGACUAAAAUGAAUACAAUGUGUCUUCUUCAACCCAAAAACUUAUACAAAACUCAGAAAACUAUUCCCCUUCAACCUAAAAAUUGAUACCAAAUCCAUAAAUUUAUUCAUCUUCAUCCAAAAAUUUAUCCCUCUACUUAUCCUCCCUUCUUGUUCUACAUGGAAUCAACCUUAAAACUCAUUGAGGACAAACCCAUUUCACCAUAUGAUUAAACUUCUCACUCUUAAAAAUUAGGGUUUUCAACAAAAAUUAGGGAUUUUUUAUUUUGAAGCAUGAAUUGAACAAAAUAAAGCAAUAGAAGAUUUGAUUGGAAGUAGAAAAUGGAAGAAGAUGAUGAUGUGAUGAUGGGUUGGUGAGGGAGAGUGCAGAAAGAGGAUGAAGAUUUGGGUAUAAUGUUUGAUGGAGGUUUGUGAGGGAGAUUGGAGAAGAGGAUGAAAGAAUUGUGUUUAUUCAUUUUUUUCCAAGAAGAUGAGAUCAUGAUUUUAUUCAUUUUGGUCCCUAUCGGUAGUUCACUUUCAUUUUGGUCCUCGCGUACGUGGGCUUAGUUUUUGAAUCAGAUUUGACAAGUCAUGGUCCAAUUAGUCAACAACUAGUACAGGUCAUGAA